GGGUUGUGAGGUUAAGCGACUAAGCGUACACGGUGGAUGCCCUGGCAGUCAGAGGCGAUGAAGGGCGUGCUAAUCUGCGAUAAGCGCCGGUAAGGUGAUAUGAACCGUUAUAACCGGCGAUACCCGAAUGGGAAAACCCAGUGUGAUUCGUCACACUAUCAUUAACUGAAUCCAUAGGUUAAUGAGGCGAACCGGGGGAACUGAAACAUCUAAGUACCCCGAGGAAAAGAAAUCAACCGAGAUUCCCCCAGUAGCGGCGAGCGAACGGGGAGGAGCCCAGAGCCUGAAUCAGCAUGUGUGUUAGUGGAAGCGUCUGGAAAGGCGCGCGAUACAGGGUGACAGCCCCGUACACAAAAGCGCAUGUGCUGUGAGCUCGAUGAGUAGGGCGGGACACGUGGUAUCCUGUCUGAAUAUGGGGGGACCAUCCUCCAAGGCUAAAUACUCCUGACUGACCGAUAGUGAACCAGUACCGUGAGGGAAAGGCGAAAAGAACCCCGGCGAGGGGAGUGAAAAAGAACCUGAAACCGUGUACGUACAAGCAGUGGGAGCCCCACCACUAAGCCAGUGGUGAACUCCACAUCCGCAUCCUUUGCUGAGGAUACGGUUAACGGAGCGAAAGCGACGUUCAACCGCAAAACAAGCAGAGGGGGCUUAG
rnacentral:rRNA from 1 species